GGCGCACGGGUGAGUAACACGUAGGUGACCUGCCCUGUAGUUGGGAAUAACAGAGAGAAGUCUCUGCUAAUACCGAAUGAGGUGAGCAACUUUGGAAAGAGCUCACGAAAGACAGCCUCUUUACAAUGCUGUCGCUAUGGGAAGGGCCUGCGGGCCAUUAGCUUGUUGGUGGGGUAAUGGCCUACCAAGGCUUUGAUGGCUAGCUGGUCUGAGAGGAUGGCCAGCCAUACUGGAACUGAGACACGGUCCAGACUCC
rnacentral:rRNA from 1 species